rnacentral:rRNA from 1 species
CGCGUAGGCGGGAUGGCAAGUCGGUCGUGAAAUCCUUCGGCUCAACCGAAGAACGUCGAUCGAUACUGCUGUUCUUGAGGAUUGCAGAGGAGACUGGAAUUCCCGGUGUAGCGGUGAAAUGUGUAGAGAUCGGGAGGAACACCGGUGGCGAAGGCGGGUCUCUGGGCAAUUCCUGACGCUGAGGCGCGAAAGCGUGGGGAGCAAACGGGAUUAGAUACCCCGGUAGUCCACGCUGUAAACGAUGACGACUAGGUGUGGGGGGGGUUCAGUCCCCUCCGUGCCGCAGCUAACGCAUUAAGUCGUCCGCCUGGGGAGUACGGCCGCAAGGUUGAA